rnacentral:lncRNA from 1 species
UAGAGGUAGAGUUUACUGAGACUAAUGGGAUGACGAAGCGUAGGACUUAGCGGCAGAAGUCAAAUCGAAUCAGUAAACGGUGGAAGCUCUUACUUUACUUUAUAAAUAUUAAAGUAUUUUGGCAUUAGAAUGGUAGCCGAUUGUAAGUGAAUUUAAUGCCUUAAGACCGUAGUAUUACCAAAGCAAUGACCACCUUAUACUGUAUCAUUGUUUUAUUUUUUGCUUGCUGAAAGAGGACAACAGUAGAUUACCCCUAAGGUGACCCAAGACUAUGAAUUUAUUGGACGCAAUAUUCGAAAAUAUGUAAGCUUCGUGUAGCUCUUUUUACAAAUAUCCGCUUUUUUAGAUUAGAAAAUAUUUGAAAAUGGGUAUUACAUUAAAACAAUAAGUAAAUUUUUGGAAGGACCCAUACGUAAUUGUCGUCGAAAAUAAAAAUUCAACAUAAUUCAGAGAGAUCCAGCAGUUUCUACUAAAUUGUCUUUUUGCAUUUAUAGAGUUUUCAUUACAUUUGUUUCAAUCGGUUGAGACAGUUACAAACUGGUGGUUAACACACGAGGACUUGGCCAUCAAUAGGCCCAUUGUCCUACCAAUAAUAUGGUUAUUAUAAACAUACAUAUAUAAAAUUUAUAUUUAUUUUUAUUUAUGUAUCUAGUAAUAUUCGUAGUCUUAGUUAAAAAAUUAAAAUAACAUUAUAUAUAACAAA